UACGUAGGAGGCAAGCGUUGUCUGGAAUUACUGGCGUAAGCGCGUGUAGGCGCUCGCAAGUCCGGUGUGAAGCCCGGGCUCACCCGGAAGGCGCUGGAUACUACGGAGCUGGAGUGCUGACGAGGAGAGCGGAUUCCCGGUGUAGAGGUGUAAAUUCGUAGAUAGUCGGGAGGAACACCGAGUGGCGAAGGCGGAUCUCUGGGCCGUAACUGACGCUGAGAGCGAAAGCAUGGGGAGCGAACAGG
rnacentral:rRNA from 1 species